GUACUUGCUUCAGCAGCACAUAUACUAAAAUUGGAAUGAUACAGAGAAGAUUAGCAUGGCCCCUGCACAAGGAUGAUACUUAUUCAUGAAGUGUUUCGUAUUUUC
rnacentral:snRNA from 1 species